rnacentral:rRNA from 1 species
GAUGAACGCUGGCGGCGUGCCUAAUACAUGCAAGUCGAACGCAUAGCGAAAGGUGCUUGCACCUUUCAAGUGAGUGGCGAACGGGUGAGUAACACGUGGACAACCUGCCUCAAGGCUGGGGAUAACAUUUGGAAACAGAUGCUAAUACCGAAUAAAACUUAGUGUCGCAUGACACAAAGUUAAAAGGCGCUUCGGCGUCACCUAGAGAUGGAUCCGCGGUGCAUUAGUUAGUUGGUGGGGUAAAGGCCUACCAAGACAAUGAUGCAUAGCCGAGUUGAGAGACUGAUCGGCCACAUUGGGACUGAGACACGGCCCAAACUCCUACGGGAGGCUGCAGUAGGGAAUCUUCCACAAUGGGGGAAAGCCUGAUGGAGCAACGCCGCGUGUGUGAUGAAGGCUUUCGGGUCGUAAAGAACUGUUGUAUGGGAAGAACAGCUAGAAUAGGAAAUGAUUUUAGUUUGACGGUACCAUACCAGAAAGGGACGGCUAAAUACGUG